GCAAACCCGGAAAAAGGAUCCAGAUCGGAGACUUGCAUGGCCACGAUUCUGGUCACGAGGAAAGCGCGUCUAGUGUGCAGAUAUGAAGAAGUGUAUGCAGGAAGGUCGAACUGACGGCUUCGGAAAACGAAAAGUGAAAAUUCGCGAACCGCCUUCCGCGUAGGCAAACAUCAUUAUGUAGCGUCUGGAGUGCGUCUGUGGAGCCCCAACCCGUGAAAGAGAUGUCUUUGGGCAACUGGGAGGUGUGGAAGCCCGAGGUCUGGAGGCGUAGCCAAAAACACGUGCGUGUAAGGAGAACCCGCCCGGGAGUUUCGCGUGCAUGUAUGACAAAGAUUUUUUCGGUACUUCUGCGUGUUGGGAAUCGUCAGGCGGUGAGUUCCCUGGAGGCGUUCAGAAAGAGAGAAACGUCCAUGUUUCAUUUCCUCAGAAGGCCAGAAGCUGUUGAGGGUCUGCAGGGGGAGCGUGGGAGGUUUCCGCCACGCUAUUUUCCGCGUUCAGGUUCUUCGCGAAAAGUCUUUCCUGCGGAAAAGGAAAGAGGGCCAGAUGCGUGGGAAACGGAUUGCGUCCGACAGGGUGAAAGUCGAAUUCCCUGGUAUGCGCACGCGCUGCCCUCACUCUCAGGCUGUAAGUCUCGAGCAAUUAAUAACAAGAACGUUACGUCGGACACGUCCGUGCCAACGUAGAUAAACAGGGAAACUGAAAUCUUCCGUGUCUGGGCUCUUGGUCGUGGCGGCCUGGUCCUGUUGCGCCCGGGUGGCGGGUAUCACGUCACGAAACCUUUCCUAGUUAAAGAGAUCACGAGGACACCCUAUGCACACCGACGCUUUCAUGCUGGCAUGAAUAUACGUAAAAUCCUCCAUGUAGAUUAUACAGGGCUCUGUGGGCACAUAGACUAAUAUGUUUCUUUAGGUACUAGGGUGCGUGGAGGGACCAGAAACUCAAAUAUGUGAGGAACAUGGGGUUUCGGGGGUGCGCAAAUUCCGUGCUGACGACUCAAGGUAGAACAAGUGUUGGGUCCUCUCUGUGCCCUUGAAUAUAGGUGGUGAGUCUGCAGCGCGUCAGCUUAGCGGUAGCCGGUCGAGAGCUCCGUUAUUUGUUACUCUGAAAUCACUCCUGGAGAGAGUGAAGAAAGAAGAGCGUUCAUUUGUGUUUUCGUGUCCGGUCGCCGAGCUGUCGGACUCCCCUUUCAUCCAUCUACAGACUUCCAGCGUCGAUGUAGAAUCCAUCGAUUUGCCUUUGUCGCUGGAUGCUAUCUGUUUUUUACGUAGCACUCUGGGUGUGAGGCUGUAUACACCUUUUUUGGGUGCCUUCGCCAAGCGACCAUGUAGCCGGCGUUUGGACGAGGACAACGUGACGGGUUGGUUUCUUUGUUUCCGGCGUCCAGUUGGUACGUUCUCCGGUGAAGGAAAUCUUUGUCGCCUUGCAGUCGCAUCGAAUGUUUGUUCUGUACAAAAGGGACGUUGCUUCGGGAAGCGACCUGCAACGCAGGCUGGCAUAGGCUGCGGUGCCGAACCAAGUGGUUUUCGGUCUGUCGUGCUGUCACUGAGUGGAAAUGUCGAUUUUUUCUGUGGAUGAGCGAUGCCGAAGAUCUGCGUAGGGGUCGAGAGAGACCGUACCCACUUCGUGAAUGGCCUUCCCUGUGGAGCAAAAAAAGGGAGUGCCGACGCGCACUUACUUUUGAAGAGCACCUGGUCCAAGAGUCGUUUCUUCACGAUUGCCCGGACCCUCCUGUGUGCCGUUAGCCGUAUGUGCACACGUCUGGUUUCUUCCACGGCAACGCGAUGUUGCAGAACCAAUUUGCGGACAGAGACGUUGGAUUUGCGAGGAAACCGGCCCUUAAACAGUGCCCCGAGCAAAGCUUGUGUGUGGCUGUUGAAAGAGCUUCACGGCAGUUUUUUUCGUUCCCGACGGGCUUCUUCGUUCCCUUCGAUCUUGCACAACAGCUGGCCUGUCGUGGCCAUUGUAUGUGUCGGUCGCCCUGGAUGGCGGUAGCACAUGUAUUGGUUGUGGUCUUUGUGAUGUUCUUCAGGUCGUAAGUGUUCUGUUCUGCUACAGACAGUCCACCUCUUCAAAGUGCAGUCAUGUAGCAGAACAGAGGACGCAUUUGCAACAGGGGGUUGUGUGGCCAAACCGGGGCGAUGUUCCUGAGGGAACGAAACGGCAGGUGGCCGUGCGUGCUUCGAUGCGCCUCUUUUCGGCAGCCCGUGUUCCUUUUGGGGUGUGUGUUUUACGGGCGCGAGGACAGAGCGACGCCUCACUGCUCGUGUCGAGUCUGUACACCCGAACACAAUGCCGGUCCGCUGUGCACUGGCCGCUUGUCUGCAUCGUGGUCCCUCUGCGCUGAACAGAGUGCCUGUCUCUCGAACAAGGCAGAGUGCUGAAGUGGACAGAGUUUUUACGAGUGCCUAGCAGUCUACGGGAUUUUAAGAGGGAAUGGUGGUGUUGGAAAGAAGAGGCAUUCUCUUCUGUCCUGGGCCAGCCUUAGAAAUUGAAGCGGAGUAGUCAGUCCUUGCUGUCCCGUGUGUCGGGGGGUGUUGAAGUGUUGAAGAGUCGGUGGGGAAGUCUUGCGCCUUUGUCCAGGUGCUGCCGGUCUGUCGUUCAUAUAACGCAUUCCGUGGCAGAUGAUUCCUGUAGACUGAAAGACUAGGCCCCCUGCAGACAGUCGAGGGAAGUCGAACAGCUGUGCGUCACGCGCGGAUCUACGCAGAGUGCCUACGCUCUGUAAGCUAGCCGAACAGCAAGCCCCUAAAGUGCAAGGGUGUCCGUACCCCCCCCCCCCCCCCCCAUCUGCCACUCCCGUGGAGCGUUGACUUCUUUUGCUGUAUGCGUGGCUGCCGCAGGGUGCGCCGUUGUUCCGCGGCCUGCUUUCGAGGGGUGAGCGCGCUCAGCAGCAGCCUGGGGCCGCGCCGCCUGCAGAAACCCCUCCCACGCCAGCUUCUGAUGGAGCACGUCACACGCCAUCCACAGGACCAGGGGUGGCUUCACAUCAUCUCCCGAGUCCGGGGCGCCGCCCUGGUAGAAAUGCAUGGGAUGGGGAAGAUGAAUACAUGUUCAUCCCAGCUACACCGUCGCCGGCCGUCAGUAACGGCAGCCUUAACGAAUAUGAUAUUGACUCAAGUGAAGACCUCACCAUGGGUUAUUCGAGUGACCACCGGUAUCAUGACCAAAGUCUCGCACCAGGCGUGCUCACCCACAUAAAAUCGGCUAGUCUUCGUCCGCUUCCAUCCCGGAGCUCUGACGAUGAGGGAAGCCAUCCACCGCUCGCCAGGGCCUACUCAGUGGGUCAGAUAUCUUCUCAGCCUACUUCAGCUGCUCCCCUGUCAAAAUCCGGAGCCAAGGCGGGCAAAGGAAAAGGAUUUUUCAGCAGGUUGAAAAAGCGUGACGGCAGCUAGAUUCCCGGGAUUAUGCGUACGGUCUUUGCGCGCGUGGUGGGUCUGCGUUUGUCGUGUUUCUUCACCUCACAUGAAGGUUGGCUAAUAUUUGGUUACAGUCCAGAGCGGCUUUGGUAAAGCAGUGAUGCCCUUUCCUCUGCUAACUGCGGCUUCUUGAUAAUGCUUUUGGAAGGUGGAGAGAAGAUCGCUGGCCUGAAAUGUGGGCGCUUGUGUCUUGUUUACGAAGCACGCGGGACCCGGUCACUAGUUUACGGGCGGCUUGGCAGUUCUGUGUUAUGGACGGGGCUGCCGAACUCAAGGUAGGGUUGCCUUUCUUUUGGAUUCUUGUGAGGCGGUUCUGGCUGCGGUGAUGGAGCGAAAUCUCUUGUCACGCCACGCGGUGAGACAACAAGGCUGUUUUAUGAAAAGACGUGGAGGUGUUUUGCGGAACUCUGCAACGCCUUCCGUUUUCACGUGUGGUGCUAGAGUGAUUUGAGAUUUACUGCGAAAUGGAAUGUCAGCCGCGGAUAGUAUAUUUCCAGUUGCGGACGUUUUUCAACGCGUCGAGCAGCGUGUGUAUUUGAAGGUGUGUGUGCCCAUCUCUUUAUGUACAAGCUGGCUGAAAAAAUGCCGUCAAUAUUAUUAUUUCUCCUGCGGAAAUCAGCUGUUAGACGCAUGGGGAGCGUUGAGCGCAGCCGCGCAUUUCCUGCGGGGGCCGCUGGCAGUGGACAGCUUUCAUGGGCCGAAGAGUCUCAACGUGAACACCCGUAGCAGACGGUCUCGCGGGGAGUUCCGGAUCAGGGGUCUUUCGUCGUGUCAUAGUCGCAACUGUAAUGAGCAUAUAGUGAACGACUGACAGGAUCCGAUAAAAACACGCGUCAACUGAAAUUUCCGACGGUGG
rnacentral:lncRNA from 1 species